rnacentral:rRNA from 1 species
CCAGACUCCUACGGGAGGCAGCAGUGAGGAAUAUUGGUCAAUGGGCGAGAGCCUGAACCAGCCAAGUCGCGUGAGGGAAGACGGUCCUAUGGAUUGUAAACCUCUUUUGCCGGGGAGCAAAAAGCGGUACGUGUACCGCAUCGAGAGUACCCGGAGAAAAAGCAUCGGCUAACUCCGUGCCAGCAGCCGCGGUAAUACGGAGGAUGCGAGCGUUAUCCGGAUUUAUUGGGUUUAAAGGGUGCGCAGGCGGAAGAUCAAGUCAGCGGUAAAAUUGAGAGGCUCAACCUCUUCGAGCCGUUGAAACUGGUCUUCUUGAGUGAGCGAGAAGUAUGCGGAAUGCGUGGUGUAGCGGUGAAAUGCAUAGAUAUCACGCAGAACUCCGAUUGCGAAGGCAGCAUACCGGCGCUCAACUGACGCUCAUGCACGAAAGUGUGGGUAUCGAACAGGAUUAGAUACCCUCGUACA